CCUACGGGUGGCAGCAGUGAGGAAUAUUGGUCAAUGGGCGCGAGCCUGAACCAGCCAAGUAGCGUGAAGGAUGACUGCCCUACGGGUUGUAAACUUCUUUUGUCGGGGAACAAAGGGCGCCACGCGUGGCGUUGUGAGUGUACCCGAAGAAAAAGCAUCGGCUAACUCCGUGCCAGCAGCCGCGGUAAUACGGAGGAUGCGAGCGUUAUCCGGAUUUAUUGGGUUUAAAGGGUGCGUAGGCGGUCCGGAAAGUCAGCGGUAAAAGCCCGGGGCUCAACCCCGGCGAGCCGUUGAAACUGUCGGACUAGAGACGGCGAGAAGUACGCGGAAUGCGCGGUGUAGCGGUGAAAUGCAUAGAUAUCGCGAAGAACUCCGAUUGCGAAGGCAGCUUACUAAACUGCCACUGACAUUGAUGCUCGAAAGUGUGGGUAUCAAACAGGAUUAGAUACCCGAGUAGUC
rnacentral:rRNA from 1 species